rnacentral:rRNA from 1 species
GACGAACGCUGGCGGCGUGCUUAACACAUGCAAGUCGAACGGAAAGGCCCUGCUUGCAGGGUACUCGAGUGGCGAACGGGUGAGUAACACGUGGGUGAUCUGCCCUGCACUUCGGGAUAAGCCUGGGAAACUGGGUCUAAUACCGGAUAGGAGCCAUUUUUAGUGUGAUGGUCGGAAAGUUUUUUCGGUGUAGGAUGAGCUCGCGGCCUAUCAGCUUGUUGGUGGGGUAAUGGCCUACCAAGGCGGCGACGGGUAGCCGGCCUGAGAGGGUGGACGGCCACAUUGGGACUGAGAUACGGCCCAGACUCCUACGGGAGGCAGCGGUGGGGAAUAUUGCACAAUGGGCGCAAGCCUGAUGCAGCGACGCCGCGUGGGGGAUGACGGCCUUCGGGUUGUAAACUCCUUUCGCUAGGGACGAAGCUUUUUGUGACGGUACCUAGAUAAGAAGCACCGGCUAACUACGUG